rnacentral:sRNA from 1 species
UAAAGUUGAGAAACGCAUACUCGGUGAA